ensembl:lncRNA
CUCCAGUAUGACUUUCCAAACUCAAUUACCUCUGAAUAAUUUAAAGCCUAGUUUAAAUUUAAUUUCUUUCUAUCCCACUGGGAAAACUGCAGAAAGAGACGGCCGAUAAAGCUCGAGUUCUGAGAAAUCCAUUUGGCUUAUGGGCAGGCGGACGGGUGCAGUGUGACUACAGACAUUUUUCACACAGUUCUGCAAGCAGAUGUGGCAGCAGGAAUCGGCACCAAGCCUUCCCCCCCCCAAAUACAAACCAACCAACCAACCAACCGCAAAACCCAAGCAAACCAACCUGAAGACCUUCAGAAGAGAUGAGGAGGAAGGGAUUUUCAAAUGGCAAGAGAUUGGAAGGGAGAAGGACAGGUUGGAGAGCACCUACUCAAGUUUCAAGAGGAUAUUAAAACUUCAUGGAUUAGAACACCUGGACAGGUCAGAGUUUCCUUGUGACUAGUGGAAGGAAGAAAGAGGUUUAACUGUUAAGUGACUGUAACAGUUACGAUGUCCAUCUGUAAAGACAACCUGAUGUGUCACAGCACAGCUUGGAGAUGAGAUGUGACACUGUCUUGGAGCUUGAGGUCUGUCUGUCCGGGCCCAGAAAGAUGGAUGGCUUUGCGGUGUUGUUUGAAAGCUGCACUGACCUCAAGAAGGAGCCCUGAUGGCGGUGCCAGCACAACAGCAGACAGCAGGGGAGGAAAUCGAGGCGAGCACCCCUGGUGCACAUGUGGAUGGCUGAUGCUGCCAUUUCCUAUUUUUAUCCUGAUUCACCGCUCCUGGGAA